UACAGAGGUCCCAAGCGUUGUUUGGAUUCAUUGGGCGUAAAGGGUGCGUAGGUGGCGUCGUAAGUCGGGUGUGAAAUCUCGGGGCUUAACUCCGAAACUGCAUUCGAUACUGCGGUGCUUGAGGACUGGAGAGGAGACUGGAAUUUACGGUGUAGCAGUGAAAUGCGUAGAUAUCGUAAGGAAGACCAGUGGCGAAGGCGGGUCUCUGGACAGUUCCUGACGCUGAGGCACGAAGGUCAGGGGAGCAAACGGG
rnacentral:rRNA from 1 species